rnacentral:rRNA from 1 species
AUACGUAGGGGGCGAGCGUUGUCCGGAAUGAUUGGGCGUAAAGGGCGCGUAGGCGGCCCGGUAAGUCUGGAGUGAAAGUCCUGUUUUUAAGAUGGGAAUUGCUUUGGAUACUGUCGGGCUUGCGUGCAGGAGAGGUAAGUGGAAUUCCCAGUGUAGCGGUGAAAUGCGUAGAGAUUGGGAGGAACACCAGUGGCGAAGGCGACUUACUGGACUGUAACUGACGCUGAGGCGCGAAAGUGUGGGGAGCAAACAGGAUUAGAUACCCUGGUAGUCCACACUGUAAACGAUGAAUGCUAGGUGUAGGGGGUAUCGACCCCUUCUGUGCCGCAGUCAACACAAUAAGCAUUCCGCCUGGGGAGUACGGCCGCAAGGUUGAAACUCAAAGGAAUUGACGGGG